UGGGGAAUUUUGGACAAUGGGGGAAACCCUGAUCCAGCAACGCCGCGUGAAUGAAGAAGGCCUUAGGGUUGUAAAGUUCUUUUAUCUGGGAGCAAAAGGUUAUUGUUAAUAGCGAUAAUUGAUGAGAGUACCGGAGGAAUAAGCACCGGCUAACUACGUGCCAGCAGCCGCGGUAAUACGUAGGGUGCGAGCGUUAAUCGGAAUUACUGGGCGUAAAGGGUGCGUAGGCGGUUAAAUAAGUUAGAUGUGAAAUACCUGGGCUUAACCUAGGAGGUGCAUUUAAGACUGUAAAGCUAGAGUUUGUCAGAGGGGGGUAGAAUUCCAAGUGUAGCAGUGAAAUGCGUAGAGAUUUGGAGGAAUACCGAUGGCGAAGGCAGCCCCCUGGGAUAAAACUGACGCUGAAGCACGAAAGCGUGGGUAGCAAACAGGAUUAGAUACCCCCGUAGUCC
rnacentral:rRNA from 1 species